rnacentral:rRNA from 1 species
GAUGAACGCUGGCGGCGUGCCUAAUACAUGCAAGUCGAGCGAAUGGAUUAAGAGCUUGCUCUUAUGAAGUUAGCGGCGGACGGGUGAGUAACACGUGGGUAACCUGCCCAUAAGACUGGGAUAACUCCGGGAAACCGGGGCUAAUACCGGAUAACAUUUUGAACCGCAUGGUUCGAAAUUGAAAGGCGGCUUCGGCUGUCACUUAUGGAUGGACCCGCGUCGCAUUAGCUAGUUGGUGAGGUAACGGCUCACCAAGGCAACGAUGCGUAGCCGACGUGGGAGGGUGAUCGGCCACACUGGGGAUUAGACACGGCCCCGACUCCUACGGGAGGCAGCAGUAGGGAAUCUUCCGCAAUGGACGAAGGUCUGACGGAGCAACGCCGCGUGAGUGAUGAAGGCUUUCGGGUCGUAAAACUCUGUUGUUAGGGAAGAACAAGUGCUAGUUGAAUAAGCUGGCACCUUGACGGUACCUAACCAGAAAGCCACGGCUAACUACGUGCCAGCCGCCGCAGUAA